rnacentral:rRNA from 1 species
CGUAGGUAACCUGCCUGGUAGCGGGGGAUAACUAUUGGAAACGAUAGCUAAUACCGCAUAAUAGCAGUUAUUGCAUGAUAACUGUUUGAAAGGUGCAAAUGCAUCACUACCAGAUGGACCUGCGUUGUAUUAGCUAGUUGGUGGGGUAACGGCUCACCAAGGCGACGAUACAUAGCCGACCUGAGAGGGUGAUCGGCCACACUGGGACUGAGACACGGCCCAG